CCUACGGGGGGCUGCAGUGGGGAAUAUUGGACAAUGGGGGCAACCCUGAUCCAGCCAUGCCGCGUGUGUGAAGAAGGCCCUCGGGUUGUAAAGCACUUUCAGUGAGGAAGAACGCCUGGUGGUUAAUACCCAUCAGGAAAGACAUCACUCACAGAACAAGCACCGGCUAACUCCGUGCCAGCAGCCGCGGUAAUACGGAGGGUGCGAGCGUUAAUCGGAAUUACUGGGCGUAAAGCGCGCGUAGGUGGCUUGAUAAGCCGGUUGUGAAAGCCCCGGGCUCAACCUGGGAACGGCAUCCGGAACUGUCAAGCUAGAGUGCAGGAGAGGAAGGUGGAAUUCCCGGUGUAGCGGUGAAAUGCGUAGAGAUCGGGAGGAAUACCAGUGGCGAAGGCGGCCUUCUGGACUGAAACUGACGCUGAGGUGCGAAAGCGUGGGUAGCAAACAGGAUUAGAUACCCUUGUAGUC
rnacentral:rRNA from 1 species